CCUACGGGAGGCAGCAGUUAGGAAUAUUGGGCAAUGGAGGAAACUCUGACCCAGCAACGCCGCGUGAAGGAAGAAGGUUUUCGGAUUGUAAACUUCUGAUCUCUGGGACGAAGAAAGUAACGGUACCACAGGAGAAAGCCACGGCUAACUACGUGCCAGCAGCCGCGGUAAUACGUAGGUGGCGAGCGUUGUCCGGAAUAACUGGGCGUAAAGGGAGCGUAGGUGGUUGAUUAAUCUAAAUGUGAAAGCCCAGGGAUCAACUCUGGAACUGCAUUUAAUACUGGUCGGCUAGAGUACAGGAGGGGUAAACGGAAUUUGUGGUGUAGCGGUGAAAGGCGUAGAUAUUAGGAAGACAACCGGAGGCGAGGGCGGUUUACUGGACUGCAACUGACACUGAGGCUCGAAAGCGUGGGGAGCAAACAGGAUAAGAUACCCGUGUAGC
rnacentral:rRNA from 1 species